CCUAACUCUUAGAGAUGCUGGGAUCAAAGGUCAAUGGUUUUCUUUCCAUGUGCUUGACCGAGCAUGGGCUUCCCUAAGACAAUCCUUAUGGAUAAUUUCCCUUGUGUAUACACAGGAAUUGAAGCUUGUCCUGUUCCUGCUACCUGCAAUUCCUUACCAUCUUUAUACAUCAGUAUCCAGCACUGGAAUUAUGUAAAUAGGAGCCUAAAGAGACCUGAAGGAUCAUCUAUUCCUACCUGA
rnacentral:lncRNA from 1 species